rnacentral:rRNA from 1 species
AUUGAACGCUGGCGGCAUGCUUUACACAUGCAAGUCGAACGGUAACAGGCCUUCGGGCGCUGACGAGUGGCGAACGGGUGAGUAAUGCAUCGGAACGUGCCCAGAGGUGGGGGAUAACGCAGCGAAAGCUGUGCUAAUACCGCAUAUUAUCUGAGGAUGAAAGCGGGGGACGUAAGCAGUGGGGAAUUUUGGACAAUGGGCGCAAGCCUGAUCCAGCAAUGCCGCGUGCAGGAAGAAGGCCUUCGGGUUGUAAACUAGCUUUUGUUACGGAGCGAAAAGGACUCUCUCUAAUACAGGGGGUUCGAUGACGGUACCGUAAGAAUAAGCACCGGCUAACUACGUGCCAGCAGCCGC